UGAGUAUUCAAGCUCCCAAUUCUUUGUAUUUUAUUAUCGUCCUGGAAGUCAUAACCCACUUCUCCGUCCCUUCCGGUGAACAAUAAGGGUUUUGGACCAUAUUGCAAAACACUUUCAUUUUGAUGCUGGUCAAAGUGAUUUUGGUUAUCUUGAUGGUCAAGGAAUUCAGUACCUAUGUAUAGAUAUGUAACACUUCGUAUCUGUUCUCCCUAGGAUCUUAAAACCUUGAAGAAGGCAGAACAACUGGGAAGAGAAAGAAGUAAAAGAGAGAAAAAAUAAAAACCUCAAAGCAAGGAGAUGGAAAGGAACAAAGAGGACACAGAUCUGGGAUUUGUGCAUGGUGACCAGUGAAGACCUCUGGCUCAACAGAGAAAACAUGGAGGCUUUGGUCCCCCGCCAUUCCCCAGAGAACCACAGAUGACUGCAGCCUCUGUCCCACUGUCACAACCUGUGACUCUGAGGUGCAAAUUUGGCCGUGCCGGAGAGGUAAUUUUAGGGAGCUCCUGGAAUUCUGAGCCGAAUGUUUUGUUUCUCACCCUUCCCAACGUCCCCGUCGCUUGUCACUUGCUGAGGGAUUGACUGAAAGCUUGAAAUGCAAACUCAAGACGUUGGGCAUCCAGCGGAAGGGGGAAGCCUGAAAACAAAGAAAACUCCCCAAAGGCCAGGAGUGAGAGCUGCAUCGCCUUGUUCCCCAACUACACCCCUGCCUCAGACUUGUGUUUGCAAGGGAAGCUUGUGCGGUGUCACCUUGGGAAGUGCUCGUCUCUCUGAAGCAAUGUUUCGUGGCUUGGCUGUAAUUGUCCUGGGAAAUGGAAAUAAAUAAUCUAAAUAAAUUUAUAACUACUUU
rnacentral:lncRNA from 1 species